UUGUGGAGUCCGCUGUGGGAAACAUGUCGAGGGAUCGGGAAUGGCGGUUUGACGAGCCGUGAGACCUGGCACUGGUGGGGAGGGGCCUCGCGGGCACGGCGGAGCGGCGAUGGAUGCCGAUGGGGUGACCGGUGCGGUUCCCACUCCGGGUGGAUUUCGCGGACUGCUUGGAGCAGCCAGAUCCGGUCCCUCUGGUGCUGCUGCCGCCGCGUGUGGAAGCGUCGGCUGCGUGCAACUAUUAGGGAAAUGCAGCCAGGUCUGGAUUCGUUGGCUGGAGGACCAGAUUGCAUUGUGGACAGGUGGAUGAUGAUACGAGGGGGCCCGGACUACUGGUGGCAGCCAACCUACUAAUGCACUAGCAGGAGCACCCCCUGGACAAGGCGCUGGGCCUAAUCCCGGUCUGCUCCUCUUCCAGCCUUUCCCUAGCAAAACAUGUGGCUUCUCUCCAGGUAAUCGGUUCCAUCUCUCCAGAUCACGAAGGAUUCAGAUCUAUUGCUUGUUGAAUUUACAAGUCAAUUGAUUUGUUGGUUUAUUCUUGCCUAGGAUUAUUGGGCGAGUUUAUUUGAAAAUUAGUACUGGGUUGAAUGAGUAUGGACUAUAGUUGUAACAACAGUUUACAAGUUGAAGAACCAGCAACAACUCGCAAGUUCAUUCUUUGCAAAUUAAUUAAAUUACCCCAGUGAAUCACAUUCCUCGUUUUGUUUGAUGUUGAUGUCUCCCGCGUGCUUUAGCUGAAACAUUGAUCACCGAGGAAGUGAGGAUGCCCUCUUCUGUUCAGUUUAUCAAAUAAUGUCUCAUGAAGGUAGUACCAAUCAAUACUAUUUGAUUAAGUUGAGCAAUUGUAUGUUGCUUCUUGAUUAUAAUUCAUGAUGCAAACACAGGGUUUUUGUUCGAUGCCUGCUAUUUUUAAGUGGGGUCAUUUGAUUUAUUUAUGGCGAUGUCGUAUGCUCAAGAACUUUUUGACUUGUAUGCCAAUACUGGUAUACAUGAGAAAUGAAAGAUCGAAUCUAAAAUGUCAGCACUUUGUCAUUUUCUUUACCUGGGAUUUUCCGGGGUAUACAUGAGAAAUUCUACGAUGCUAGUCCUAGUAAGCAUUUCCCACUGUUGUGAUAUUCAACCUAGUUUAAACUAAAUGGUGUAUUCGAAACAAACGAAAUGUAUACACUAACAUCAUUUUCAGUUUGCAAGAGAGACAACAGUAUACUGACAAAGUUUUUCAGCCUGAAUCUGCUCCAUAUAUCUGUUAUGUUGGAUAUGGCCCAAGACGCUUAUUUCUUAAUCUUCUCUGUUUUAAUAACCUCUUGAAAUUUUGCUAGGACUGGAUGUCUAGUUGCAGCUUGUGCUGGACUACGUACAGGAAGAUUCUUUUUUUUUUUUGUUAGUAAAGGCCAUAUUGUUGUUCAAGCCCCGCCAUCAUUUUCUUGAGCAAACUUCUAAAUGCUCCAUUAUAGUAUCAAUUUAUAAAGAACACACUUCAUGUAAAAGAGGAAAUACGCUAACUUGUUAAAUGCCAUUAUAAAAAAUGAGGAUGACUUUUCUUUAAUUUAUGCAAAAGGUUUAUCUAGUACCUUUUCAGAAGUAGCUGGUCAACUUUGGCUUUGUCAUAAUUCAGUUUGGUGAUGCAUUGACAAUCAGUGUUCGUUCCUUAGACUAUCUUACUGGGAUAUGGAUCAUGGUAAUCCAAUUCUACAGAAAAAAGUGAAGUUCUCAUGUCAGUUGUUCCGGUGAUGAUAGAAUUAUGACAGGUUGGUUUUUGUUUUGUGAAGCUCCCUUGUCAAUGUGAACCACAUGUAACACACAUGAAGCUUUAACUGUUUCCGUGUUAACUGGUUGUGAAAAACUCAUAAGGUGUGUAAAGAGUUCUUCAUUGCUUGUUCUGUACUUGCAGUUUCUUAUCAUUUGCUAGGAGUUCUUACUUGUACUGGUCAGCCUUGCAUGAUGAAAAUAGCCUUAUAUAUUUUGCUUCUGCUAGUAAACUUGAUAGAAAAAUCACAAUCUGAUAGCUUAUCUUGGUUAGAAUUUUUUUGGUGUAAUAUAGGGACAAGUUGGAUCUUUGCUUGUAUAGUUUAUGUUGCAACAAUGAAAUUCCACUCUGAUGAUUUGAGGAGUGAAGAGUUUUUGGUUUAAAUUCAUAAGACAGUCUAUAUACCAAAUGCAUCCCAACAGAAUGAUUUAUUUGCAAAUCACGACGAGCUUGAAAAAACCAUUUUGUUUUGUAAUAUUACUUUAGUUGUACUGCUCAAGUUAUCCCACAAUUGCAUCAACUUGUUGCUCCAGUACUUUGACUAACUAGAAUGCAUCCCAACAGAGUUUUUGUAGUAUUUUGUCUUACCAUCAUCUCUUUUUGCGAACCUAUUUAUGCAUGAAAACAAUGUUACAAAACUGUUGUAGUAUGAAACAGUUUACUAAAUUGUUGUACGCCGAAGCGGUCGUUGACUUCCUAAUUGUUUCGUGUAAUUUAGGGAACAUGGAGCUGCGGUUCCCAGCCGAUGUGCAGUAGAGAAAAGCAGUGACCAUUGCCUUCCAGCUUCCAUCUUCAGAAGUGUCGGCCCGGACAUGACGAUUUUAUAUGUUAGAAAUGAUUUUUUAGUGCAUGUCUUGGACAACCCUGCAGUUCUUGCAUUUCUGGUAGACAAAAUCGGUUCGUUGCAAUUUGUGUUCAUCUUGCAGUUCUAAAAUUCAGAACUUGUUGAGCAGUGAUGCAUUUAUUUAUGAUGGCAACUCUUGUUCUGGCA